UCAGCAUUAAAACACCGGUUUCCGUACGAUCACAGUAGUUAAGCGACGUCGGGCCUGGUCAGUACCUAGAUGGGUGACCGCUUGAAAAUACUAGGUGCUGUAAG